GCGUUGGUGGUUCAGUGGUAGAAUGCUCGCCUGCCACGCGCGCGGCCCGGGUCCGAUUCCCGGCC
rnacentral:tRNA from 1 species